ACUAUUUUGACAGAAAAGUGUUAUGGAUUUAGAAACCAUUAAUGUAAGAAUUUAUGCUUACAAAUAGUA
rnacentral:tRNA from 1 species